rnacentral:rRNA from 1 species
ACGUAGGGGGCAAGCGUUAUCCGGAUUUACUGGGUGUAAAGGGAGCGUAGACGGAUUAGCAAGUCUGAUGUGAAAGGCAGGGGCUCAACCCUUGGACUGCAUUGGAAACUGCCAGUCUUGAGUGCCGGAGAGGUAAGCGGAAUUCCUAGUGUAGCGGUGAAAUGCGUAGAUAUUAGGAGGAACACCAGUGGCGAAGGCGGCUUACUGGACGGCAACUGACGUUGAGGCUCGAAAGCGUGGGGAGCAAACAG